rnacentral:rRNA from 1 species
CCUUUAGAUGUCCUGGGCCGCACGCGUGCUACACUGACGCAUACAGCGAGCACUUUCCAGUUCCGAGAGGCUACUGGUAAUCAUCAAUAUGCGUCGUGAUGGGGAUAGAUCUUUGGAAUUCUGGAUCUUGAACGAGGAAUGCCUAGUAAUCGCAGGUCAUUAGCCUGCGAUGAUUAAGUCCCUGCCCUUUGUACACACCGCCCGUCGCUACUACCGAUUUCGAGUGGUCAGGUGAAUCUUUCGGACUGUGGGCGCCCUUGAGGUGUUCGCGGAAAGUCAGGUAAAUCUUAUCACUUAGAGGAAGUAAAAGUCGUAACA